UCAAACAUAGCUCAAUUGGUAGAGCAUGAGACUCUUAAUCUCAUGGUUGUGGGUUCGAACCCCACAGUGGGCA